rnacentral:rRNA from 1 species
GGAAAUCUCGCCAGGCCCGGACACUGGAAGCUCUGAUAGCUCUUUCUUGAUUCGGUGGGUGGUGGUGCAUGGCCUUUCAUAGUUGGUGGAGUGAUUUGUCUGGUUAAUUCCGAUAACAAACGAGACUCUGUCCUGCUAAAUAGUGACGCGGUUCAUCGAACCGUGGGCCACUUCUUAGAGGGACUAUCGGAUUCAAACCGAUGGAAGUGUGAGGCAAUAA